rnacentral:lncRNA from 1 species
GUGUACGGACUCAUCCCCCAGAUAUUCGCGUACGCCGUGAACUUCCCCAUACAAAAGUUUAUGCAGGCGCAGAGCAUCGUGGCGCCGAGCGCGUACAUUAGCACGGCCACGCUUAUCGUGCACCUGCUGCUGAGCUGGGGUGUGGUGUACAAGGUGGGCUUGGGCCUCUUGGGGGCCUCUCUGGUGCUGAGCCUGAGCUGGUGGAUCAUAGUGGGGGCCCAGUUCGUCUACAUCGCGGCGAGCCCGCGGUGCCGGCUCACGUGGACCGGGUUCUCGUGGCAGGCGUUCGCCGGGCUCGGCGAGUUCUUCAAGCUGUCGGCGGCGUCGGCGGUGAUGCUCUGCCUCGAGACCUGGUACUUCCAGGUGCUCGUGCUUAUUGCCGGGCUUCUCGAGAACCCGGAGCUGGCGCUCGAUUCGCUCUCCGUGUGGUAAGCAUGCAUGUCCAUGCCCUUAUGAUCGAUAUCUAGUUGUUAAUCUAUUUAGUCCAACUUUUACUUCUGCUUUUAGUACGACUAGUUAAGUGCACGUGCAAUGCACGUCGAACAAAUACUAAAAAAUAAAAUUUUUAUAAAUAAAUAUUAUAGAUUCGAUAUAUAGUAUUUAAUCAUUAUCAAAAUAAAAUGACAGAACUAAGAAAUAGAAUUACAAUAUCAUCAAAAAAAAAAAACACAAAAUCCAUCAUAAUAUCAUUGAAAAAACAAAUACAAAAUUCGUCACUAAACUAACUGAAAAUGUCACAAUCAGCCUCCCUUCCGUACAAAUUACACUAAAAGUAAGAAAAAUAAUAAAGUAAAUAUUAGUAAAUCAUCAGAAUAGAUAAAAUUAAUAAAAAAUAUAAAUUUAAUAAGACUUUAUAUAAGUAAAAAUUUUUUGCUUAAUUUUAUUUCUUGAGUUUUUGGAAUAGUUGGAUUAAGCACAAUUUUACUCACAAAACUUUGCUAAAUAAAUUGAUUUUGAUAAAUAAAUUUAAAAUACUACAGAAAAAAUAAAUUAUUAAAAAGUAUAUUUAUCUUAAUUAUCGAUAUUAACGUGCACUGUUUUAAUAUAACAACUGAAUUGUUUGCAAUAACGUCUCUUCACAUGCCAAUGUGUGUUAGCAUUAUCUUCUCCAAGAGGAUCAAUCUAGUUUGAUUCAUGCUUCAAUCCAUCCAAAUAAUUAGUUAUUAACAAUUUUUUCAUGUCAAUAUGUGUUAGCACUAUCUUGUCAUAGCGGAUCAAUCUAAUCCAAUUCAUACUUCAACCCAUCCAAAUAAUUAGUUAUUAAUAAUUUUUUCAUGUAGAGUGAUAAAAAGAGAAACACUUUAUCUUCAAGUUUAGGACGAUUAACACCAGACAAAUAAAGAGUAAUUGAUUUGGACAAUCAUUGCUACAACAUCUAAGAAAACUAAAAUAGUAUAGAAGUUAGUAAUAGUAUAGAAGGUGGCGAAGGCGACAAUGUGUCGGCGUCGAUGACGACGAUAACGAUGAGGAAGAUGAUGACGAUGUUCUGGUACGGACAAUAAAGACAAAUGAGAAAUAAUAUUACUAAAAAAAUAUUUGAGAAUAUUUGAGAAAAAUAUACGCAAAAAUAAAAAAGAAUAUUACUAAAAAAAUAUAUGUUUUAUAUUUGAAAAACAUAUAGGUAAAAAUGACAAAAUACUAAAAAAAAUAUGCUAAAACAGCAUAGAAGCACAUUACAAAUUCAGAUGUAAUCAAAAUACCUCUGCAAAGGCGAUAAUGUUCCAAUGCCAGUAAUGUGAUGAUGUACCGGUGUCGACGACAGAGAUAAAUAAAAAAGAAUAUUAUUAAAAUAAUAUUUGAGAAUAUUUAAGAAAAAUAAUAGCAAAAAUAAAAAAUAUAUAUUACUAAAAAAAUACUUUAUAUUUGAGAAAUAUAUAUGUGAAAAUGAGAAAUACUAAAAAAAAUGCUAAAACAAUAUAAAGGCAUAUUAAAAAAAAAAUUUCAGAUAGGAUCAAAAUACCUUUUCAAUUGUGCAAAGGCGGCGAAAGUGGCGAAGGCGAUAAUGUGUCGGCUCCGGUGAUGAUGAUGACGAUGAUGACGACGAUGUACCAGUGCUGACAAAUGAGAAAGUAUAUUACAAAAAAAUAUUUAAAAAUAUUUUUAAAAAAUAUAGAUAAAAAUAAAAAAAUAUAUUACUAAAAAAUAUAUACUUUAUAUUUGAAAAACGUAUAUGUGAAAAUAAGAAAAAAUAAAAAAAAGAUAUACUAAAACAGUAUAAAGGCACACUAAAAAAAAUUUCAGAUGGAAUUAAAAUACCUCUUUAAUUAUAAUGAAGGUGGCGAACGCGACAAUGUUCCGGCAUAGGCAAUGAUGAUGAGUAGGACGAUGACGAUGUACGAUUGGACAAAUAUUAAUUUUUUUUAGAAAUAUUCUAUACUUUUAUGACGCAUUAUUUAAAUAUUGAAUAUUUUGCUAAAAAUAUUUAAAAUUAUAUUUAAUUAACGAUUUAGUUUUGAUUUGGGGUAUUAAAUUUUUUUAGCAAUAUUUAACACUUCUAUGGCGCGUAAAUUUUAAUACUCGUCAAAAUUAAAUCUACUAUCUUAUGUAAGGAAAAAUCUACUAUCAUGAAUUAAAAUUCAAAUUAUUAAAUUCGCGGGUAUUAAAUUUUGGCGGGCAUUAUAAACUUAAAAUUUAAUUUUGGUAGAUAUUACGUUUGAGAAAAAAAAAUAUUUGAGGAAACUCUUGGAUAGGAAAUAAAUUUAGCGGAUGUAUUACAUGAUUGGCUGGUAUUACGCUAGAUAAGAAAUAAAUUUAGUUUUACGUAUUAUGGAUAGAAAAAAAUAUUUGAGUAAUGUAGAUAGUAGAUAACGGAUAUGGAUGAUAUUUUUGUCAACAAAAAUGACAGAUACUUUUAUUUUUAUUCGUUGGAUGAGAUCCAAUGGUGAAAACUUAAGAUCUAUAUUUGAGAAUAAAUUAUUAUUUGAAGAUUUAUUUAAAAUGGAUAAAAUAUAUUUUAUAUUUGAGAACGCGGAGAAUAUUUUGGUGGGUAUUAUUUAAACAUUAAAUAUUUUGCGAAAAAUAUUUAAAAUUAUAUUUAAUUAACGAUUUAGUUUUGAUUGGGCGGGUAUUAAUUUUUUUUAGUGAUUAGCAGAGGUAUUACGUGAUUGGCGGAUAUUAUGUUAGGUUAGAUAAGUGAUAAGUUUAGUUUUACGUAUUACAUGAUUGGUGGGUAGAAGAAAAAUAUUUGAGAAACGCGGCGUAGAUGGGAGAUAACGGAUAUAUAGGGUAUUUUUAUCAACAAAAAUGAUAGAUACUUUCAUUUUUAUUGGUUGGAUGAGAUCCAAUGGCGAAAACUUAAAAUCUAUAUUUGAGAAUAAAUUAUUAUUUAAAGAUUUAUUUAAAAUGGAAAGAGAAAAAAUUCAAAACUCACGCUUUUAUAAAUAGUAUAGACUAGACUAGUUUGGAAGAAUGUUGGAUAACAUAUGCAUAUAAAACUCGGGCACAUUAGCGAUUCUGAAAUGUUACUUGGUGAGGACUGGUUGAAUCAGUACGUCAGCAUGACAUUAUAAAUAUUUAAUUAUUAUUUUUAAUUUUAUUAUAUAUAUUUUUAGAAUCGUGCUUGAUUGUAAAAUACUAUUUUCGAUAACAAAUUAAGUAGAUAUAAAGAUUUCAAAUUUUACUUUUCAUAAGACUAAUAUGUACUAAAAGAUAAUAAAAUCAACUAAGUUGAUUUUAAAUCGUUGGAUUUUAAUAUGACUUACCAAAAAAAUCCGACGAAUUUGAUUAAAAUUGAACUGGUUCACUGGUACCACCGGUUCUAACUGUUCAAAAUAAUUUCUUAACUUAUCCAUAUUGGACCGGUCCAAUAAGUAUCAGGUCUUGUUUUUGAAAUACAAAUGUACGGGAUCGAAUCUCUGACCUGAAAGACGACAUCCAAAUACUUUUUAUUUAAUUUUUUUUUGAGAUAGGUAGCACGUUAUCCGUUUCGUUUAUUUCAUUUAGAAAUAAAUUUAGCUGAAAAUAUGAAUCAACUACGAUUCGAACUUGAAUUUUGAAUAUCAAUUAUUAAAUUCUUUGUCACUUGCUCUAGGGGCUGUCGGUGACGACAUCCAAAUACUAACCAAUAAACUGGUGGUAGUUAGUAUCUGUGUGCUCACGAGUUGGUGACUAAACGAUGAGCCCACGAUUCUUAAUUACCGACAUGCACUGCGACAAAUUAGUUCACCGUACACUAUUUAUGAAUCACAGCUGUUCAAGUAGCAUCUCAAUUACCAUUUUCGUGCAAGAAGAAAAUGUUGAUGUCGACUACUGAGGGAAACAUGUUGAGGGAUAUGAAUCCUAUACUAUUUCAAGUAGUGACGCGUCUACAUUUGAAAUGUACAAAUUUAUCAUUUAAUUUCUUUGUAAGAAGUGGGGGGGAAGGACCACCUUAAUUGACAUUUCAAGAUCCUCAACUGCAUCUCUUUCUUUUUAUUUAUUUAUUUUUUUUGAUCUAGUUAAGGAAAGAUAUCAUAAAAUUGAUAGCAAUUCUACAAAUUAUAACUAUUUUGAGUACUUCUUUUGCUAGCUGUAGCGUUUUGUUUUUUGAAAAAUUAUCUAUUUUAGAACUAUUUUAAUUUUAGCACAUGUAACCUUCUUAGCUCUUGGGCCCAUCUAUCACCGAAAAUACUAUAGCUAGAUUUAGAAUUUUAAUCUUGUUUUGUUUUAUAUAUAGAAUUAUUUCCAAUUUUACAAAUGUUACACUAGCUCUUGAAAAUACCAAGUUUGUUAACUAUUGGUAUAAUGGUCGAUAGUCUACAGAGCAAUUAACUACAUAAUUAAGAAAAAUCAGUUUGAUCAAAACAAUUGAAAUUAAAAGAACAGUAACUUAAAAAAUAAUAGUUGGAUAACUCUCUUUCUUAGAUGACAUAUAGUUGAUAGGGGUCUCCUUAUGUUUUCACUGGCAUAGAAUAGGGGAGUGAAUGCUCUACUACUCAAUUGGCUCUUUUAAGUUUGGUAUUUUGUUUCGGAUAAAAUGAAAAUGUGUUUUUGUUAAUGUAAGGAAAGAUUUUUUUUUCCAUGUAAUAUAUAUUGCUAAUAUUAAUGUUUUUUUUUUUUUUUUUUCUAUUGCAGCAUGACGUUAUCCGGUUGGGUGUUCAUGAUCUCGGUCGGGUUUAAUGCUGCUGCAAGGUUCCUGUUCUCUCACUAUUAUAGCCUUUAUUUGCUUUUAAUUUGUUAUUAGUGUGUUUUUAUUGUACCCUUGAUUAGCAUGAACUCAUUAUCAUGAACUUUGAUGAAACUUUUGAAUAGUGUGAGAGUGAGCAACGAACUUGGCGCCGGAAACCCUAAAUCCGCGGCAUUCUCAGUGUUGGUGGUGACGGUGCUAUCGUCUAUAAUAUCGGUGAUACUAGCAAUUGUGAUCCUCUGCCUCCGCGACUACAUAAGCUAUAUAUUCACCGAGGGCGAGACGGUGGCCCGCGCCGUCUCCGACCUUUGCCCGUUGCUCGCAGUCACCCUCAUCCUCAACGGAAUCCAACCCGUCUUAUCUGGUGAGGAAACCUAGCUUUCUCCGAUAUGUUAAUCCUCCUGAUCAUCUGUAAAGCACUCGGUCUACAUAACUUUUAGCUUGUUUGUCCCGACUACUAGGAAUGUGAUAUCGCAAUUGAAAAGUUAACAUGCUUAGCAACAAAAAAACGUAGGCCAAAAUAAAAAUUCUUCAAAAAUUAAAAGUUACCCACAUUUGUCCUAGAUAUAAUAGCCUAAGAGUGCAGUAUUUUUGCUUCAACAGUUUAAUUGACUUCCGAUUCUUAAUAUUAUAUAUAUAGAAUAAUUGUUGGUUGCGAAUACAUUAGUAUAUUGUGUAGAGGUGUGGCUGUUGGGUAUGGUUGCGCAACCAAUUAUGACUCAUAUGUUAAUGUUGGAUGCUAUUACAUUGUUGGGGUAGCCCUUGGCAGUUUCUGGUUUCAAAUUUAACUUGGGUGCCAAAGGUAACUAUUAAUUUACAAAAAUUGCACAGCUCAUCAUGUAUAUAUAUUGCUAUAAUAUCGAUAUUAUAUAUAUAAUAUAUAUCAAUUAUAUUAUAUAUAUAUAUAUAUAUAUAUAAUAUGCAAACUUAUUUAAGAGAUUGAAUACUGCAUGAAGUAGUACUACAAUGGCGAUUACUGCGCAAUUGCAUCAAUUCCUCAUAAUAAUACACCACAACGCCACACACACAUUAUUUUCAGUUAAACAUGUAGUAUGAAUCUAAUAACAUUGAUGGUUCAUGAAAUAUUAGUUAUGUUUUUUUAUCAUAUCUCCCCUUAUAAAUUAUAAAUCCUAAUGCCCAUAUGAGAGCAAACUAUUCGAUCAUGAAAAUAACUUACAAGUACGGAGGCUUCCGUACUUUCGAAAGUAUAGGAGCCUAGCUCUCUCUCUCUCUCUCUCUCUCUCUNGUAUAGGGAAUAUGGGGAGGAAUGAUAGGAGGUACAUUCAUGCAAACCCUUAUCCUGCUGUGGGUCACGUUCCGAACUGAUUGGAACAAAGAGGUAAAUUCUAGUUCCCUUACUUUUUCAUGCAUAAUUGGUACAAAGUAAUAUUUGGUGAGUUAAUUGCUCAUUUUGUGAUUGUCCAAUAAAGUUUGUUCUCUUUAUUUGAUACUUCACUUCAUUAAACUUAUCUCGAGCUAAUUACCAAAGCAUGACCACAUAUGUUUUAUCAAGGUUGCCAAACACUUUUGAAAACAUCAGUUCACCAAAUCUUAAUUGGUGUGACAUGUCACGUCGAGACGGCAGUCACUGAUGACGAAUUAUUCAAAAUAUAUUUAUUGCCAAAAUUUGACAAUCGUGUUCGACAAUGAUUACUUUAAGCUGAUCCAACAAUUUGACUAAUAAUCUCUAUUUUAUUCAUGUACUAUAUCAUUCUACAUAUAUUAAGUGCUUGUGAUAUAAUUUUGGGAACUUUUCAUUCAAUUAAUUACUUUCUUACACAAAACUGUUGAAUUAAUUAAUAAAACUAAGCAAAAAGAAACAAUAAGACCUAGUUGUUUAGUUUUAUAAUACAAGAAAAAAAAAAUAUAGAAAAGAAUUAUAUCUUCUCCUCUUUUGCAUUAAAUUGAUAUAUUUCACAUAUUUGAUUCUGCAGGUGCAAGAAGCCAUGAAAAGAUUGGAUAAGUGGGAGGACAAGAAACAACCGCUUCUGUCAAAUGAUGAGAACUAAUAAUCGACUAAUCGAUCAGUGUGAGCUCUUUGAUUUGGUAUUUACCAUCGAAAAAUCGUCGGAAAUGGAGAUUAUGAUUACAUAAUGUGGUAUUUGAGGGAUAUUAAUUACCGCAUCCACAUUGGAUGGAAAAGGAUGAUGUAUAAUUCCUUUGAAGGAAGGGGAGUAUAUGUACUUUAUGAGAGAUUUAAACAUGAGAAUUACUGGAGUUCGCACUUUGUGCAGCUCCACCGCAAAUUUCAAGAAUAUGAUAUAAUCAUCCAUUUCAUUUGUUUUUAUAAUAUUAUCAGAAUAAUAGUGCAAAUGAGCGAAAAUUACGAUGGGAAUUAAGCUCCUUAUAGGAUUCUGAUAAAUUCAAAAAGUUGGCCUUUUUUUUAAAAAAAAUAAUUUGGAGAAGGACUUAAGUAUGAUCUAUAAAAUUCUUCUAUUAAAAAGGGAAUUUUUUGUGUACUCAUGAAAUAGUACUACUAGGGACGGUCAUUAAUAUUUGGGUAAACUUCAAAUACAGUUCGUGUGGUUUUACACUUUUUUAUUUUAGUAUCCUGUAAUUUAAAGUGUAUCAAGUUAGUCCCUAUGAUUUUGCACUUUCUCACUUUAGUACCCUAUGGUUUUAUUUUUCUCUUUUUAUUAUUCAUUUCACUAAUUCUUUUCGUUAAAUCAGUGACAAAGUUAAAAUUGAAGAGUAUUAAAAUGAAUAUUUGAUAAACUUAGAUAGGGUAUAUUAAGUUUUUUUUGUAUAUAAUUUAAGGAAAUAUUAACGAGGAAAAAAAAAUCAGUGACAAAAUUAAAACUAAAAGGUAGUAGAAUAAAUAUUCGAUAAAACUAGGUAGGGUAUCUGAAGUUUUUUGUAUAUAAUUUAACGAAAUAUUUACAGAGUAGCAGACGAAAAGAGAAAAAUGAAACCACAGGGUACUAAAUUGAUGCACUUUAAACUACGGGGUAUUAAAGUGAGAAAAUGUGAAACCACAAGAUACUCAAUUAAUACACUUUAAACUAUAGAGUAUUAAAGUGAAAGAGAGCGAAACCACAUGAAUGAUAUUUAAAAUUUUUUUUUAAUAUUUUAGCAUUUUCAAUGUGAAGCUAGAAAUCUAGAAUGGUGACACAUCUUUUUCUACAUGAGAAGCGACUAUUUGCUGCUGCUUUUUCAUAAUUGCCUUUAUUGGGGGGGGGGGAAUAUGUAGCUACAUUUUUGUCCUUAUCUCCAACUUUUUAAUUUCAAUGAUUUUUGUAAGUAUGCGCAUGCCAAAUUGAGAAGUUAGAUUCUUGAUUUUGUCUUCACAUUCAACUCCUUCCACACUUCUAACAUCCUCAAGAUAGUGGACUCACACUCUCCCCAAAAGUUCUCUUCCCAAAAAUUACUUAUUAAAUGGAUAGAGAAUUUUCUAAUAUUAAUUAGUACAAAAUAUACAUCAAUUGCACCUGGUCAAGUAUACAUGCACUGUAUAAUUCAAAAACUAACUGAAAAACAAGUUGAAUUAUAUGCAUGAGUUAAAUAAAAAUUUCAUAUAAUGUUUCUCAACACAACUAAAGAGUCCAUAAAAAUAGGAAUUCUAGGUAGUUAACACUCUCUAUAUAUAUUAAACCAAAAUAACCUUGUUUUUCAUUUUCCCUACCCUAUAAUAAUAUAAAUAUACGUUCACACUAUACCCUUCUCUCUCUCCUAUCUCAUAUUCUCGUUCUCUCUCUCUCUCUCUUUUUCAAUACCAUGGGCUCUCUAGAGAAGCCCUCCUCCUCCCCUCUCCUAACACCCUCCACUACUGUAAACCACGGCCACGGCUACGGCCACGACCAUGACCACGAUCAAUUACCGCCGUCCACGUCGGCUACAACGCACGGCGUGGACGCGCGGCUGGAGAGCAUCCUCACCGACGCGUCGCUGCCGUGCAGGCGGCGCGCGUGGUGUGCGUUGGGGAUCGAGCUGCGGCUCCUGCUGGCACUCGCGGCGCCUGCGGUGGCCGCGUACAUGAUAAACUACGUCAUGUCGAUGUCGACGCAGAUCUUCUCCGGCCACCUCGGCAACCUCGAGCUCGCCGCCGCCUCCCUCGGCAACUCCGGCAUACAGAUCUUCGCCUUCGGCCUCAUGGUACCUACUAGCUCUCGCCACUUUAAAAAAUAUAAAAAUAUAAAAAUACCGUUCUCUACUAUAUUUAUUAAACUUUUCGAGAAUAAUAGUAUUAAAAAUUUGAGAUUUCGUAUUCGAAUCAUGCCAAAUUUUUAAUUAUAAUUAUAUACUAAAAGAAUUGUUUAUAAGUUUAUAUUUCAUACUCAAUAUAUGUAAAGUUUCUCUAAUGGGUGAGUAUUUAGAUUUGGUACUUUGUACCUACCAACACCUGGCAUACGAAAUUAAAAAGAUUGAGGUCCUGUUUGGAUGCAUAGUUAAAAAAUUUCAUAAAAUUUUUAUUGUAUAAUUUUAGUCUAAAUGAAAUACGAAAUUUUGUAACUACAAAAAAAUUUCACAGCUUCAUUUUUAAGCUGUUUGGAUACAUAUCAUACAAUUCCACAGUAUUUAUAACAAAUUAAAUUUCUAAAAUUUUAAAAUUUAAAAUUUAAAAUUUAAAAAUAAACUUUUAAAAAUUAAUUAAAUUAGAUUUUAUGUUUUAAAUUUGAAAUUUGAAAUUUGAAAUUUGAAAUUAGAAAUUUGAAACUUUAAAAUUUAAAACUUAAAGUAUACCAUUUAANCACCGUUAAACUCACAAACACACCACAUCGGCCAUUAAAAUUGUCAAUUUUGAGAUCUUUCGAUCACUAGUCAAAUGAUGUCGAAAAAAUUUGAAAUUUAGUUUCCAAACACUUUCAAUAGUGUAGAUCAAGUCUAACGGAGCCGAUCGUCGAUUUGGAAGCCGCAUAAUCGAAAACAACUUGGUAGCACGGAGCGCUCCGUGCUACCUAUAUAUAUAUAUGUCUGUUUUAUCUUGUUCCUAAAGCUAUUUAAUAUGCUAGCACCUUAAUUAGUAUCAGCCUCACUGAUACUACUUUCCAAUUUAUAUUUUAAUCUAGCAUUUUUUAGUCUACGACGUGCUCUUCAGAUGUUAUAUAUUAUAUAUUCAAAAAAUUGAUCUGAUAGAAAUGACGUACUCAUGGAUUAUCUUAUGAUCUAGCAUUAAGAUAAAUAACAGAAAAAUUAAUAAAAAGUAUUAAUAGAAAAUAAUGAUCCUAGUUAACCAACAUGUGUGCAUAAAGUGUUGGCCAAAGAUGUUACAAAUCACCAUAAUCUAUGGGUGAAGCAUGUAGCUGUAUAUCAUUUUAAUUUUUAUUUUGAUCCCUUGUAUCAGUGUUAGUAUCACAGGUCAAAAUGUUAUCACUUUGUGUACAUCAUUGAUUUGUUGCAUGUGCUUGCUCUUUCACUCUCACUCAGUUCUACUUUUCCUCCCCUUGUCUUUCAUUAAUGUGCUUUUCCUCUAGUUUUUUUUUUUCUGGGUGUUCUCUUCCUACAAAGCAUAUUUUGUUCGCAGUCAAAAACACAUGGCAUCACAUAGCGCAGCAGGACAAAUUAAAUGCCUUGUCCCAAAGUUCAUCAGCUUAAGCCAUAUAUUGCUUAAAAUAAAAUUUAAUUAAUGCAAACCUACUUGAAUUGAUGAAUAAUGCUUGAAAGAAAAUAAUAGUUUUGGGUGAUUAGUUGACCUGGAUCCGCAAAUUAGAAGAGACAGUAAGAAAAGAAUUGACAGGUAAUAUGGUCUAUAUGAAAGCAAUUUUGAUUUUAAUUUUCACAUCAAUCGUUUAAUGUUCUUAAAAAUAUAUAUAUUAUAUAGAAUUAUGAUAAUAUACUAUUAAUCAUACGAAGCGCUUAGUGCUAUCAAGUUUUCGACCGUUGGAUGAAAGGAUGUGCGGUUAAAAUGAUAGUGGUCCCCUGUUGCUGAGUGGAUGAUUGGUUAAAUAGUAUAAUCUAACGGAUGGACAUAAUUAAAGAAUAGAUUUAAUCGUAGAAAACUCGAUAGUAUUAAGAGCUUAAUAUUAUCGAUAGUACAGUAGCUAGCCAGGUCUCUCUCUUUCUAUAUAUAUAGAAUUAGACUAGAAUACUAUUAACAGCACAUUUUCGGUCCUUGGAUGAAAUGAUAUACGGUUAGAAUGAUAAUAAUUCUUUAGGAUUGAGUGGAUGGUUGGUCGAAUAGUAUGAUAUAACGGUUGAAAAUGAUCAAAGGGAUAGAUCUAACGGCAAAAAAUUUGGUAUUGUAACCGGACUCUCUCUCUCUCUCUCUCUCUCUCUCUCUCUAUAUAUAUAUAUAUAUAUAUGGAAAGUGAAUUAACUACAGUAGAUCUUAUGGAACACAUUUGUAGUUAAUUGAUUAUUAGAGUACUUUUCAUGAAAAAAAAACCUGGCUUUUUAACCAGUAUGUAGAGUAGAGCUAACAAAAAGACCCUUGGGCCGGUUUUUUUUUUAUUUUUAAGAACGGAUUUUUUUUCCGUACGGUUGGAUAUCUUUUGGAUUUUUUUUUUCUUUUUUUUUUAGGAAAAACUUCAAAAAUCCUCCCCGUGGUUUCCUAGUUUCUCACUUUGCCCCCCUGUGAUUUAAAAUGUAUCAAAUUGCCCCACCCCCUGUGGUUUCGUUUUUAUCUUUUUGGUAGCUUUUUUGUUAAUAUUUUAUUAAAUUAUAUACAAAAAAUUUUAGAUACCCAAGGGCUACACCUUUAAAAAAACAAUAAAACUGUUAUAAAAUGCUUCCAAAAUUUGAGUUUCCUCAUGCCUUGCGAAGGAAAUAAUAAAAUAAAAUAAUAAAAUAAAUUUGAGUUUCCUUAUGCUUCCAAAAAAGCAAUAAAAUAACAAAAUAAAAUAACAAUUUCUAUAUGCCUUGCCAAGUUAUUCUUUAACACUUACCUCACAUAAAUAUAGUUUUAAAUAAUAUGAUAACAUUGUAUCAUAAAAACAUUUAAAUAUAAUUUUAGUUUUAUAUCUUUUUGCAAUUUGAAAAGUUUUGAUUUGAUGCUGUUGUUUAUUCAUAAAUAAAUAACUGCAAUAGAAAAGAACUUUUUCUAAACGAGAAGCAAAUUUUUACAUUCCGUUCUCUUGGAUUUUUAUGCAUGGAAUAAUUUUAUUUUAUUUUUUUUUAUCAUCAGCAGCGAGGAUUAAUUCAUCUGCACAAUUAAUAUAUUAAUGUUGCGGACUCAUCACUUAUUUAAAGUGCACAAAUACAUACAUUUCGUCACUAAUGAACAACAAGAUCAGUUAUUUAAUGCAAAAAAAACAUUACGUCCCUGAUAAAAUGAUGUGAUUAUACAACUUAAUUAUAUAUGUAACCCAAAAUCGUUCUAGCACGUACGACAAGCACUAGAUGCAAACAACAUCAAAGCGGGUCCCACCAAAACCCGCAAGAGCAAUGAUAAGUUUACAGUCCAAAAGAAGUUCUACAAUUUUAUAACAUAUCCCUCUGAAAGCCAGUUUAAAGUUUAAACACGCUUGAUCUUAUAUUAUUGUAAAUAUUAAAUUUUAAAAGAGGCUUGCUCAAUCUAGCUAAUUUAUUUAUCUUAAUAAAUAAUAUUGAUUGUGACACUCCAAGCUUUAUAUAUAAUAGAUAUAAUGGAGCUAAACUCUUUUUUCGACUAUAACAUUUUGAACGGUGGUUGGACUGAAACAAUUAAGAGAAUUAAGCGUGUUAAAAUUAGAGAAGUUUUAGAAUAAGUGAUCUUCUGAAAAAUGAGGCGUUAUAAUUGGUAUGAUGUGGCUUCCUGACUGAUUAUUACUGUUGUAAAUGGAGCGUGACGUACUCCUUAUAAGAUGAGUUAAAGACUAGCAAAAUAAGUCUCAUAUCGGUCGGUGCAUGUGAAUGCGUUUGAACUUGAUGAGAACGUCAGAAUUUAAAAAAAGCUAUAACAUUUUGGACAUGACUGUAUGUUGAAACUAAAAUAAUUCUAAAAUGAAUGACUCUAUGAGAAAUUGGACGUUACAUAGGUAAUAUGCUAGGUAAAUAAAUUCCUUGCAAAAGAGAAUAAAAGCAAGGCAUUUCACAAUGCGUACGGUAGACGGCCAAUUCCUCCACGGCUAUUACACACACACACAAACACACACACACACACACACACACACACACACACUUAAAACAAAAUUGAACCUAUCUAGCUCACUCUCUCUCCAUGGCGCAGCAGGGAGGAGACGGAGAGGGGAGGGCGCACGCGCUGAGCGCGAGGCUGGAGGGGAUGCUGACGACGAUGACGACGUCGGCGCCGGACCGGGGGAGGUGGGCGAGGGCGGUGGCGACGGAGCUGCGGCUGCUGGCGCCCAUCGCGGGGCCGGCGGUGGUGGUGUACAUGCUCAACAACGUGCUCUCCAUAUCCACGCAGAUCUUCUCCGGCCACCUCGGCAACCUCCAGCUCGCCGCCUCCUCCCUCGGCAACAACGGCAUCCAAGUCUUCGCUUACGGUCUCAUGGUAAGACUAAUCCUGAACUGUUCCCUACGGUAUCAAUCUAUAUAUAUAUUUGAUCAAUAACACGAUAAUAUGUUAGAAGUAUCUGUAUUUAUCUUUUCAGCCAGUGCAUGCAAUAUGAUUCAUAUAAUAUUCAGUACUAUUGCAGUACAAGUGAUUGAGCAAGCACAGGUAUAUAUAUGCUAAUUAAUUCAUUAUUAAUCAAGAUAUAUAUACAUAUAUAGUAGGAUUAAAUUUUGCGCACCAGUCCAUGUUAGUGUAAGUGCUAGCUUUUAUAUAUAUGGAACCUAAGUGAGUAGAAGUAAUGAUUCCGGGUUCAACUUUGUGUGGGACAAAAAAAAAAAAAGAUUUGGGGAUUCUAAGGUUUAGGAGAGUCUACGGCCAUUGUUCAAUAAAAUAAAUAAAGAAAAAUGUUAUGCGUUGGAGAUUUAAUAUUGCAUGCACGCGGUGUGUACAUAUUUAUGAGGCUUGCAUAUAUACAAAAUAGUAGUGUAGUUUUUUGACGAAUCAAAUAGUGACUUUUUGUAUAUUAUUUGAUUUUAAAAAUUUCUGAAUGCUUAAACAAUAAGUAUUAUUCCAAAACUUGCGAUUUUAUAUAUUUAGAAUCUUUUGGCAUAUUGGCUAGUUGCAGGAUAAGGGCAUCAUCUCCUCAUCUAGGUGGGUUUAUUAAUGGGGAAUCCUCUGCCACAUGUGUUAUUGUACAUUCUUAAAUUCGAUUUUAAAGCUAUGCAUGCAUGAUUCUUUAUAAAAUUCUAUUUGUACACUGGGAAAGAGCUAGGUCUAGAUCUUACACUCCUACUUAUAAGAUUCACAAAAUCUAAUAAAUUUUUAGUAUUUAAAAUAAAAAUUUUGACAAGACAAAGAUCUCACUUUGCCCCUUUGGGGUGUAUAGCAGCAUAGCUCUUAUGUUCCUUUCGGCUUAAUUGCACUCCAUUAUAUUGUGCUUUAGUAUUAUUUUUACUUGUUACAUUAUACUUUCUUUUUUAAAAGACACCAUCGUUAGGGGUGGCAAUCCAGCUCGCNNNNNNNNNNNNNNNNNNNNUUUUUUUUUUUUUUUUUUUUUUUUUUUUUUGAGAGAAAUAUAGUAUGCUAUCCGUUUCGUUUAUUUUAUUUAGAAAAUAAACUUAACUGAAAAUAUUAAUCAACUUGGAUUCGAACUUGGGUCUCGAACCACCAAACCCUUUUACCACUUGCGCUAGGAACGGUCGGUAAAUCUAAUAAAUUUUUAGUAUUUAAAAUAAAAAUUUUGACAAGACAAAGAUCUCACUUUGCCCCUUUGGGGUGUAACUGUAGCAUAGCUCUUAUCCUUUUGGCUUAAUUGCACUCCAUUAUAUCGUGCUUUAGUAUUAUUUUUACUUGUUACAUUAUACUUUCCUUUUCCAAAGACACUAUCGUGUUACUAUAUUUUAUCAAUCUUUACACUAUAUUUCAGAUUUAUUUUUAUUUUUCUAUUUUCUUCUAUUUUUUGUUCUCAUAGAUAUUACUAAACUAAUUUUUUUCCACUAAUCUCUACCUGACUGUUAACAAAUAUAUUAUUUUAGACAAAAUCUAAUAAUUUUAUAAAAGGAUACUAGUUAAAUAAUAGAAAAAAAAUGUAAAAUGAAUCUCCAUGAUGGGCUCUUUAAAAUUUUCUAUCAAAUUAUUUUUAAUUAAAUUUUUGUUAUUUUUUAUAUCAAAAUGAUUUGAAUAUAAGUUUUGCCACUUCUAAUCAGUAUCUUUUAACAACUUUCAUAUAAAGUCAUAAGUUGAUUGCUUAUAGCUAGUGUAAAUAUUGGAAAAAAUAAAAAGUGGCGCUUUUGAAAAGAAAAUAGUUCAUGUAGAGUAUGAAAAAAAAAAAAAAAAAAUCUAUAAAUUAUAGUGUAGUAUAGUAUAAUCAAGCCUAUCCUUUUCCUUGAACUAAUUCGACAAAAUACUUGUUUCCAAGGAAAAAUUCGUAGGCAAAUUUAGUAAACGUUGAUAUGUGCAACACCUAGCUAUACAUUACGACAAGAGGAUUAUAAUGACCAAUUGAAUAGGAAAAAGAAAAUCUAAAGAGGAAGAUACAUAAUUGCAUAAUUCCAUUAAUUCCACCUUGUUGAAAUUAAGGAAAAAUGCAAGGAAAAGCUCCAAAAAUCCGAUUCUCAUAAUCCAAUCGAAACAAGUACUAAGCUCCAAAAAGAUGGGCAUCAUUAAACCCAGAAAAUAAAAAAAUUUGGAAUGCAGAAAAUGCUUUGAUUCCACAAAUUAAAUAUUACUAUAUACUAGUAAGUUUGUAAAACAUUUUGACUUUACGUGAAUGAAUUAAUUAAUUACAACUUUUAGUGUUUUUGUAUAUAUAUAAUUAAGUAAACACAUCAAUAAUUUUAGAAUUUGCAUUUUACUUCUAAAGUGCAUUGAUUGAAUCAGUACAAAAAUAUUAUAACAAAAUCUACAAAACCCCCCAAAACUCAUUAUUUUGCGGUCAAUUUAAUUUUAAACACCUAUCUACGUAUACGUAAUUACGUACAUGCAUAUAUACAACAGCUAGGAAUGGGCUCCGCAGUGGAGACUCUAUGCGGACAGGCGUACGGGGCGCACAAAUACGAGAUGCUCGGAAUAUACCUCCAACGGUCAACGGUCCUCCUAACCGCCACCGGGAUUCCACUCGCCGUAGUCUACGCCUUUUCCCGCCCGAUUUUAGUCCUCCUCGGCGAGUCCCCCGAGAUCGCCGAGGCCGCAUCCAUUUUCGUAUACGGACUCAUCCCCCAGAUAUUCGCGUACGCCACGAACUUCCCCAUACAAAAGUUUCUGCAGGCGCAGAGCAUCGUCGCGCCGAGCGCGUACAUUAGCGCGGCCACGCUUAUCGUGCACCUGCUGCUGAGUUGGGUGGUGGUGUACAAAGUGGGGUUGGGCCUUUUGGGGGCCUCGUUGGUGCUGAGCCUGAGCUGGUGGAUCAUAGUGGGGGCCCAGUUCGUUUACAUCGUGACGAGCCCG